rnacentral:rRNA from 1 species
UACAGAGGGGGCAAGCGUUGUUCGGAAUUACUGGGCGUAAAGGGCGCGUAGGCGGCCCUCUAAGUCGAACGUGAAAUCCCUGGGCUCAACCCAGGAACUGCGUCCGAGACUGGGGGGCUAGAAUCCGGGAGAGGGAUGUGGAAUUCCAGGUGUAGCGGUGAAAUUCGUAGAUAUUCGCAAGAACACCAGUGGCGAAGGCGGCUCACUGGCCCGGUACUGACGCUGAGGUGCGAAAGCGUGGGGAGCAAACAGG